rnacentral:rRNA from 1 species
GUGAGGAAUAUUGCGCAAUGGAGGCAACUCUGACGCAGCCAUGCCGCGUGCAGGAAGAAGGCGCUACGCGUUGUAAACUGCUUUUAACCGGGAAGAAACACCAGGACGUGUCCUGGGUUGACGGUACCGGAGGAAUAAGCACCGGCUAACUUCGUGCCAGCAGCCGCGGUAAUACGAAGGGUGCAAGCGUUAUCCGGAUUCAUUGGGUUUAAAGGGUGCGUAGGCGGAGCGUUAAGUCAGUGGUGAAUACCUGCAGCUUAACUGUAGACUUGCCAUUGAUACUGGCGCUCUUGAAUGCGCUUGAAGUGGGCGGAAUGUGCCGUGUAGCGGUGAAAUGCUUAGAUAUGGCACAGAACACCAAGUGCGAAGGCAGCUCACUAAGGCGAUACUGACGCUGAGGCACGAAAGCGUGGGGAUCGAACAGGAUUAGAUACCCGUGUAGUCC